AACGAACGCUGGCGGCAGGCUUAACACAUGCAAGUCGAACGCAUCGCAAGAUGAGUGGCAGACGGGUGAGUAACGCGUGGGAACAUACCCUUUUCUACGGAAUAGCUCUGGGAAACUGGAAUUAAUACCGUAUACGCCCUACGGGGGAAAGAUUUAUCGGGGAAGGAUUGGCCCGCGUUGGAUUAGCUAGUUGGUGGGGUAAAGGCCUACCAAGGCGACGAUCCAUAGCUGGUCUGAGAGGAUGAUCAGCCACAUUGGGACUGAGACACGGCCCAAACUCCUACGGGAGGCAGCAGUGGGGAAUAUUUGACAAUGGGCGCAAGCCUGAUCCAGCCAUGCCGCGUGAGUGAUGAAGGCCUUAGGGUUGUAAAGCUCUUUCACCGAUGAAGAUAAUGUCGGUAGUCGGAGAAGAAGCCCCGGCUAACUUCGUGCCAGCCGCCGCGGUAA
rnacentral:rRNA from 1 species